rnacentral:rRNA from 1 species
AUGAAAAUCAGACCGGAAGUAGUAUUGCUCGGAAGGGCGACAGGAAUAUGUGGAACUUGUGUGUGGAAUGUUAAAUCCCUAGCCUCUGAUAAUCUCGCUACAAAGCAGAACAAAUGGAAGAGGAAUUUGGAAAGAGAUGGUAGGUGCAAUAUAUGUGGUAUGGCGGAUGAGAAUGGUUUUCUGCUGUGGCGAAAUGUACAAAUGCCUGGGCCUUGCGAGAUCAGAUGCGAGGGGUGGGGAUCUUUGGGAGGAAAGGGUUUUCAAAUACAGUCAGUCUCUGAUCCUCCUCGCCAAAAUCAAACCGAAGUAGCGUGGUUUGGUCCUUUUAGUCUUUUGGCAUGGUUGGUUCCUACGAAAUGA